rnacentral:rRNA from 1 species
GUCUAUGGCCAUACCACCCUGAACAAGCCCGAUGUCUGAUCUUGGAGGCUAAGCAGGGUCGGGCCCGGUUAGUACUUGGAUGGGAGACCACCUAGGAAGACCAGGUGCUGUAGGAA